UACGGAGGGUGCAAGCGUUGUCCGGAUUUAUUGGGUUUAAAGGGUGCGUAGGCGGUUUAUUAAGUCAGUGGUGAAAACCUGCAGCUCAACUGUAGAAUUGCCAUUGAUACUGAUAGACUUGAGUACAGACGAGGUAGGCGGAAUUUAUGGUGUAGCGGUGAAAUGCAUAGAUACCAUAAAGAACACCUAUUGCGAAGGCAGCUUACUAGGCUGUAACUGACGCUGAGGCACGAAAGCGUGGGAUCGAACAGG
rnacentral:rRNA from 1 species